rnacentral:rRNA from 1 species
UUAAAUUGAAGAGUUUGAUCAUGGCUCAGAUUGAACGCUGGCGGCAGGCCUAACACAUGCAAGUCGAACGGUAACAGGAAGCAGCUUGCUGCUUUGCUGACGAGUGGCGGACGGGUGAGUAAUGUCUGGGAAACUGCCUGAUGGAGGGGGAUAACUACUGGAAACGGUGGCUAAUACCGCAUAACGUCGCAAGACCAAAGAGGGGGACCUUCGGGCCUCUUGCCAUCAGAUGUGCCCAGAUGGGAUUAGCUUGUUGGUGAGGUAACGGCUCACCAAGGCGACGAUCCCUAGCUGGUCUGAGAGGAUGACCAGCCACACUGGAACUGAGACACGGYCCAGACUCCUACGGGAGGCAGCAGUGGGGAAUAUUGCACAAUGGGCGCAAGCCUGAUGCAGCCAUGCCGCGUGUAUGAAGAAGGCCUUCGGGUUGUAAAGUACUUUCAGCGGGGAGGAAGGUGUUGUGGUUAAUAACCGCAGCAAUUGACGUUACCCGCAGAAGAAGCACCGGCUAACUCCGUGCCAGCAGCCGCGGUAAUACGGAGGGUGCAAGCGUUAAUCGGAAUUACUGGGCGUAAAGCGCACGCAGGCGGUCUGUCAAGUCGGAUGUGAAAUCCCCGGGCUCAACCUGGGAACUGCAUUCGAAACUGGCAGGCUUGAGUCUUGUAGAGGGGGGUAGAAUUCCAGGUGUAGCGGUGAAAUGCGUAGAGAUCUGGAGGAAUACCGGUGGCGAAGGCGGCCCCCUGGACAAAGACUGACGCUCAGGUGCGAAAGCGUGGGGAGCAAACAGGAUUAGAUACCCUGGUAGUCCACGCCGUAAACGAUGUCUACUUGGAGGUUGUGCCCUUGAGGCGUGGCUUCCGGAGCUAACGCGUUAAGUAGACCGCCUGGGGAGUACGGCCGCAAGGUUAAAACUCAAAUGAAUUGACGGGGGCCCGCACAAGCGGUGGAGCAUGUGGUUUAAUUCGAUGCAACGCGAAGAACCUUACCUGGUCUUGACAUCCACAGAAGAAUCCAGAGAUGGAUUUGUGCCUUCGGGAACUGUGAGACAGGUGCUGCAUGGCUGUCGUCAGCUCGUGUUGUGAAAUGUUGGGUUAAGUCCCGCAACGAGCGCAACCCUUAUCCUUUGUUGCCAGCGGUUAGGCCGGGAACUCAAAGGAGACUGCCAGUGAUAAACUGGAGGAAGGUGGGGAUGACGUCAAGUCAUCAUGGCCCUUACGACCAGGGCUACACACGUGCUACAAUGGCGCAUACAAAGAGAAGCGACCUCGCGAGAGCAAGCGGACCUCAUAAAGUGCGUCGUAGUCCGGAUUGGAGUCUGCAACUCGACUCCAUGAAGUCGGAAUCGCUAGUAAUCGUGGAUCAGAAUGCCACGGUGAAUACGUUCCCGGGCCUUGUACACACCGCCCGUCACACCAUGGGAGUGGGUUGCAAAAGAAGUAGGUAGCUUAACCUUCGGGAGGGCGCUUACCACUUUGUGAUUCAUGACUGGGGUGAAGUCGUAACAAGGUAACCGUAGGGGAACCUGCGGUUGGAUCACCUCCUUACCUUAAAGAA